GGGGUGACUGGUGACAGAGUGAGGGAGUGGGUGACUAGUGACAGAGUGUGGAAGGGGGUGACACAGUGACAGAGUGAAGGAGGUGGAGACUGUCACUAGUCACCCCCUCCCCUCCUUCACUCUGUCACUAUUCACCCCCUCCCUCUCUCUGUCACUAGUGACACCCUCCCUCACUCUGUCACUAGUCACCCCCUCCCUCUCUCUGUCACUAGUGACACCCUCCCUCACUCUGUCACUAGUCACACCC